rnacentral:sRNA from 1 species
AGUAACACUCUGGGAGGGCUCAGGCCACAUCACCAAAUGUGACAGGAUAGCCUUGAACUCAUCAAUUGCUGGGGGCACCUCAAACUCAACUCCAAAAUUGAUCUAAUGAACUUUCCCAAACCACAUUCCCUUCUUGCAUUUCUGAGAGAAUGGAUUCCCAUUCAUCUGACUACAGUGCUAUCCUGAAAGCAGAUCCAGAGACUUAGAUUUCACCUGCAGAUGAUUCAUUUGCAAGGUAAGCUGUCAUCAGUUGGAGGUAAGCGGAAGACAGUAGAGAGUACAGAGCCCUGGACUGUGACUCAGAGGAUGAGCACCAGAUCCAGUUUGCUGUGCCACAGUGCCUUCUCCAAAGUCACUCACAGAAGGCAUCCCACUCAACCUCACCUUGGGGCAAAUCAAAAUAGUCCUCCUUCUGAAGCUACCGGGUAAAGCGGUGGUAGUUGUGCAGCUGCUGCUGAUCAACAGGCUCCAGAAACAGCAGCAGGAGGUCUUUGCUGCACUAUAUUCCAGUCCUGAAGAUUUUCCUCACAGAAUCUUUCAUCUCUUUGUUCCUGAGACUAUAUAUUAGAGG